AGUGUUGAGGUCAUCCAUGGACAUAGACCAUGGCUAAGCUGCUCAAACUAUCACAAGGGGUAGGCUCAAAGAAAUAACAAGAAAUAAUAAUAAUAAAAAAAAACUUCGGUCAGUUAAUUCUGGAAAAUAGUUAAAAUUGAGCAUGAUUGCAGGUAGGAUGCACGUCACACUACCGCCUCACAAAUUAAACAAGUCAUGUAGAUGUUGCACUCAAAGGACCCUCAAAUUAUUUUAUAUGAUUUCAUGGCAAUAUGAUCAUUAGGGCAUGCC
rnacentral:lncRNA from 1 species